UACGUAGGGGGCAAGCGUUGUCCGGACUCAUUGGGCGUAAAGAGCGUGUAUGCGGCCCGGUAAGUCCGCUGUGAAAGUCGGGGGCUCAACCCUCGAAUGCCGGUGGAUACUGUCGGGCUAGAGUGCGGAAGAGGCGAGUGGAAUUCCUGGUGUAGCGGUGAAAUGCGCAGAUAUCAGGAGGAACACCAAUUGCGAAGGCAGCUCGCUGGGACGUAACUGACGCUGAGACGCGAAAGCGUGGGGAGCAAACAGG
rnacentral:rRNA from 1 species